AGAUUGAACGCUGGCGGCAGGCCUAACACAUGCAAGUCGAGCGGUAGAGAGGUGCUUGCACCUCUUGAGAGCGGCGGACGGGUGAGUAAUGCCUAGGAAUCUGCCUAGUGGUGGGGGAUAACGUUCGGAAACGGACGCUCAUACCGCAUACGUCCUACGGGAGAAAGCGGGGGACCUUCGGGCCUCGCGCCAUUAGAUGAGCCUAGGUCGGAUUAGCUAGUUGGUGAGGUAAUGGCUCACCAAGGCGACGAUCCGUAACUGGUCUGAGAGGAUGAUCAGUCACACUGGAACUGAGACGACGGUCCAGACUCCUACGGGAGCAGCAGUGGGAAUAGUUGGAACAAGUGGGACGAAAGGCCCGAUCCGAGCCAGUCGCCGCGUGUGUGAAGAGGUCUUCGGAUUAG
rnacentral:rRNA from 1 species